GUGAUGAAAAUAAAAAUAGAAAACAGGAAGAGAAAUACGCAGAUGCAGAGCUCUCUUCAUCUACAUGGGUGGAGGAGCUUGAGCUUCUCUUCAUCUUCGUACCAGCUGAGCCAAGAUUCGUCUUCGUAACUGAACUUUGUGGAGCUUGUCGUUGGUGGGUUCUUCCACAUUUAAGCCAAGAAAAUUUUGGAACAGAUCUGUGCAUAAUCAAUCUGCUGCAUUUCCUCUCUCUCUCUCUCUCUCUCUCUCUCUCUCUCCGUCGGCUCUUAUUGGGAUUGUCACCAUGGGAAAAGUGGAAGAACACACAUCUGCCCCAACACCAUCUAGCUCAAAUCCACAACCCAGGACAUACCAAUAACUUGUCAAAACUUCACAAAUUACAUGUACGGUUACAUUGACCAGUGCCUGCGUGAUCACCGCUUUUUGUGCUAAAUCUAGAUGGCAACCUAUAUCCAAGCAACAUCCAGAUGAUGCAACUCUACUGCUAUUUUUUUUAUAAGCUUGCAUUUUUUGUACUCCCAUUACCCGAUGAAAAUUAGAAGCGUUUUUUUAUUUUUUUGUUAGCAAUGGAAUUAUUUGAAAAUUUAAUUGCAGAUUUUUUGUACUUUAAGAAAAAUGUUGGUUACCCAUUUCAAUAUGGAAUGGGACAUUCGACUCCUCUCAUCACUACAAGUGCAAGAGUCGAUAAAGAGGUUACACACGAUUGUAAGAAAACUGAAGCGUCACAUACCUCAUCUAGAGUUGUUGAAGAAAGUAAAGUGGAUAGAUCAGAUUCUAGAAAAAUCGACAAUUGCAGUGCCGAGACAUCUCAGAUGGUACAAAUGAAUGUGGGUGAUAUGAUUGAGGAGUCAAAGUCAGGGAUUCAGUUUAAAUUUUUUGAAUAAUUAAUGAGUUAUUAUAAGCGAUAUGUGGAUUUGGGGUGAUGACAUGAAAGAGUGAGAGAGGAGAGGAUGAGAGUGUUAGAUAUGUCGCCCUUGGUUCUGCCCGUGGUGGGAAGGCCUAGAAUAGGACGUUAAAUGUCGCCAAACCACGUACGACAAGAUAGACGGACUGUAAAGCAAAGAUAAUGGUCUUAAAAGUCGAGGGAAUGUUUUGGUUGACAACAGUUCAUAAUACCCAUAAUCACAACCUAAAUCCAAAGAAUUUCGAUUCUUUUGAUAUAAUAAAGAAGUGAGUGAGUUCAUAAAAAGAGUCCUACAUAUAAACGAAUUCGCUGACAUCCAAAUGAAUAAGAGCUUCGCCUCUCUUGUCGUUGGCAUGGGUGGAUUCUAAAACCUCCCAUUUUCAAAAAAGGAUUGUAGCAAUUACAUCGAUAAGGCACGACAUCUACAACGUGGGAAAUGUGAUGUUGGAGCGCUUCGAGAGUAUUUUUGUAGGAUGUAGUAAAAGAAUGACAGAUUUUUUGUACUGAUAGAUUUAGAUGACGACGUGAGAUUAAAUAAUGUUUUUUUGAUAGAUGUACGUAAUAGGGCAGUUUACCAAUAUUUUGGUGAUGUGGUAAUAUUUGACACCACAUACCUGAUGAAUAUAAAUGAGAUGCCAUUUACACCCUUUGUUGGUAUAAACCACCAUGGACAGUCAAUUCUUUUAGGAGCAGGGUUGAUUUCCAGCGAGAAUACAGAGACCUUUACAUGGUUAUUGUAGACCUGGUUGCAGUGUAUGGAUGGUAUAUCUUCAAAAACUAUUAUCACAGAUCAAGACAACAAUGAAAAAUGUAAUUGCUAUUGUCUUUCCAAAAAUCCGACAUAGAUUCUUCCUGUGGCAUAUACUAAAAGAAGUCACCAAGAAAAUUGGUUCCUAUGAUGCCUACAAAAGCGGGCUGAAAAAUCAGUUGAUAAACUAUAUGUAUGACACUCAAACUAUUGAAGAGUUUGAGAGUUAUUGGGAAGGGUUACUUAACACAUACAACUUGUAUGAGAAUGCCUUGUUGCAAAACUUAUACACUAAGCGUGGCCAUUGGGUACCGGUGUUUCUAAAAGAGUUUUUUUUGGGCUGUAAUGAGUACAACCCAACGAAGCAAGAGCACAAAUGCUUUCUUUGAUGGAUAUUUUCAUGCAAGGACAAAUUUGAAGGAGUUGAUGAAGAAAGUUGAGAAUGAGAAUGAAAAUGGUGCAGACUUCCACUUAUUUAAUGUCACAAUUUCCUGCAUAUCUAGAUCUCCAAUUGAAAAUAGAUUUCAAGAGUUGUACACAAACGCUAAAUUUAAGA